rnacentral:rRNA from 1 species
AGAGGGGGCAAGCGUUGCUCGGAAUUACUGGGCGUAAAGCGCGUGUAGGCGGGCUAGUAAGUCGGACGUGAAAUCCCUGGGCUCAACCCAGGAACUGCAUCCGAAACUAUUAGCCUUGAGUGGUGGAGAGGGAAGCAGAAUUCCUGGUGUAGAGGUGAAAUUCGUAGAUAUCAGGAGGAACACCGGUGGCGAAGGCGGCUUCCUGGACACUAACUGACGCUGAGACGCGAAAGCGUGGGGAGCAAACAGG